CUGGCCGAUGGGGAGGGGAGAGCAGAUUUUGUGGAUGACCUGCCGCUCUCCCAUACUGCCGGCGGGAUUGGCAUAAACGCUCAUACAGGAUUCAACCCUGUCUCUGCUUCAUUGGCUCAAGUAGUGACCAGCAGCCCAGGCCUGUUGGUUGUCCGGUUUUACAUUCUGGCCACUCUGGUGGGACGAGAAGAAGGGGAGUCCUCCGGGGUGACUACUGGGGAUCCCACUUGCUGUCUGGACUGGGGUUCCUGGGGCUGAGGCCUGGACUCUUAUCCGAAGCACUGCCAGGAAUGCUCCUGUUGGAGUCCCAGCCACAGCCUCAGCCAUCCCCGUGGGCGGAUGCCAUCGGGGAUGAAAGACUGCAAAAGAACUGGGCUCCUGGGAACCCUCAACUGCCUCUCCACGGCCCAGACCGCGUGAGGAAGGGCCUACUGUGCUCAACGUACAACUCCCAUAUGGAACCAGAUGAGGAAUCAAUCAACUGGUACAUGAAUCUUCCAACAUGGGAGGAUGGUCAACAGUGCUUGGGAGGACACGCCAGCUCUCCCCGAAGGAAUCACUUGCCAACACACUGAGCCGGUUCUGGGUCCCCGCGGGCAGCACAGACAGGAACUGGCGGCAAGAAAAGGUGCCACCAGGUUUCUGAGGCCAGAGCAGCGCUGAGCCACAGAGGGCCCAUGUGGCAAGGCCUGGCGAGCGGACGCCCACAAGGUGGCGCUGGUGAGACCAGAACAAGACCACGGAUAAACGAGAAGAGCCGCGGAGCAGAGGGCAAACACCCCUCUUGGGAACUGGGAAAGGCCUCCUGGACUGAAAUUGGACUGAAAUUCGGGAAAUAGGAGGAACCUGAGCUGAGCUGAGCUGGUUUCAGCUCCCAGUGAGACUUGAAAUAAGUUUUACAAAAAUAAAGAAAAUGAUAUGCCGUGCA